CUCACUCUGUAGCCCAUGGGUUCCAUUCUCAGGACACACAUGGUAGCUCACAACCAUCUGUAACUAGUUCCAGGGCAUCUGACCCCUCUGUUGACCUCUGUAGGUCCCUUGCAUGCACAUGGCCCAUGGACAUAUAUUCAGGUUCACACACAUACACUUAACAUUAAAUUUAAGAAAGUAAUCUCUAGGGUUGAAGAGACAGCUCAGUGGUUAAGAGCACUUGAUGCCCUUGUAGUGAACCCAGGUUCUGUUCCCACAUGGUGGCUCAAAACACUCUGGAACUCCAGUUCCAGGGGGAUCUGACAUCCUCUUCUGGCUUCUGUGAUAUACAUGCAUACAGGCAAAACACUCACACCUAUAAACUUAAUUUUUAAAAAUACACUAUUUGCUAUAGUGUAUGUGGUGGUGUGUGUGUCUGAAAUCCCAACAUUCAGGAGGCAGAAGCAGGAGGACCAAGAGUUCAAGGCCUCCAGUGGUGGUGGUGGUGGCGGCGGCGGCAGCAGCAGCGCACACCUUUAACCCCAGCGCUGGAGAGGCAGAGGUUGGUUGAUCUCUGUGAGUUCCAGGCCAGCCUGGUCUACAAAGCGAGUUCCAAGACAGCCAGGCUACACAGAGAAACUCUGUUUCCCAAAAAUAAAUAAAUAAGUAAAUAAGUAAAUAAAUAAAUAAUAAAUAGAGAGUUCAAGGCCAUCUUUGGCUACUCAGUGAGUUCAAGACGCCCUGAAGCUAUAUGGAACCCUGUCUCAACACAACAGCGGACCUGGCAGCUGACUGGGUGGGGGCAGAGCCUUCAUAAGGAUGCUACAAGACACCACAACAUCCCCCUUCUCUGCCAUGCAAGGACACAGCUGGAGACAAGCCAAGACAGGCAGGAGAGCUCCCCAAAGUCCAACCUGCCGCCUCUGAGACCUGAGGAUCCCCGCUUCUAGAAAUGCAGGAGACAAAUGUGUCACCGAAGCCACCUGUCAGCAGUUUUUGUCCUAUCAGCUAAGGUGACUAAGACAAGACCCCACAUGGCAUGAACUGCUGGGCGCCUCUCUGGCCUUCUGCUACCUGUUUGGGAAAGAGAACAAAGUGGGACCAUGUUGGGACUGCUAAGUCAGAAGAGCUGGCAGGGAAGGGCUCGACAGUUCCUCGGUCAUCAUGAGAGGGCUGGGUCUAUCAGCUUCUGGUGUCAACAAGGCUGGGGACGACAGGGUCAAAGGGUCACUAGGUGGACUUGCUAGCAAGAUGAGUUAAAAGUUGAAAGAGCAAUACAAUGAAACCCGCACACUUCUCACCUAGACACACCAAUUUUGCCAUCUGUCCAUUCUCUCUCUCUCUCUCUCUCUCUCUCUCUCUCUCUCUCUCUCUCUCUCUCUCUCUCGCUGUCUCUGUCUCUCUCUCUCUCUGUCAUUCUCUGUGUAACUACUGAAAUCUUGACAGACAAUUCCAGCAUGCAGGCCUGACAACCUGAGUCUGACCCCCACAGGUUGCCCUCUGACCUCCAUAUGGGCACCAUGCCACUGGCAUGAGCACACACGCGAAAUAAAUAAGUAUAUUCAUAAUAAAGAAUUUUAGCCUGUAUCUCUAACAAUAGAUCUCUCUCCUUUCUAAGUGCUACGACUCUAACCCACGACGACCUCAUCUAAACCAGGCAAGUGCUUUACCACGGGGCAACAUCUCUAGCCUUCAAGGACAUUUUUCCAUAGAAACUUAGUGUCAGUACUGCACACAAAAAGUCCAGUACUGCACACAAAAAGUCCAGUACUGCACACAAAAAGUCCAGUACUGCACACAAAAAGUCCAGCACUGAGACCACAUUUACAAAUGUCUUAGUGUUGGAGAUUUAGCUAGAUAGUACCUUGCUUAGCAUGCCCCACGCUUCAGUUCCACUCCAAGUACCACACACACAAAAGUCCCUACUCUGGGCCUGGAGAGGUGGCUCAGCACUUGAUGCUCUUGAAGAGGACUUGGAUUGUGUUCUUAGAACCUACAUGGCGGCUCACAACCAUCUGUAAUUCCAGUUCCAGGGGACCAGACGCCCUCUGGCCUUUGCAUGUAGUGCAUAUACAUGCAUGCAGGCAAAUAUUCACACACAUAAAAUAAAAAUAAAUGAAUCUUUUUAACAAAGCCCUUACUGUGUGUUUAUUUUUGCUGUUUUGAGAGGGUCUUGCUGUGCUGCCCCAGCUGGCCCUUGGACUCGAAUGAGACUCCUAUCUCAGUCUCCAAGUAUACAGUAUACCACAUAAAUACAGUCGCACUCAGCUCUUAUUUUGUUCUUGAGUAGAACUAGAACCCACAUGCCAGGAGAUCUGACUGUGGCACAGACUAAGCGUCUAACCCCAGAGUCACUGGAAUGACCCUGUGCCAUGGUCUCUCAGGGACUCUUCCCAUAUAGACAUGACCUUGCUGGGAUGCUGAUAUCUCACAGGGGACCUGACUACCCUAAAACCCCAGCAUACACAUCAGCAUCAAGAAAGUUCUGCUCCCUGGCUUUGAGAAGGACCGACUUUUGUCCAGACACUGUUGCCUCAUCGUUCUCUGCAGGAACUAGGUACGCCCACCAUGUUUCCUACACUGACCACCCCAAGUAAUCCCCACGAGAGAGGUAAAAACACAUUCUAAUAAUAUGAUUCUACCUUUCGGAGUCCCUGCCUGGGCUGUCAACUGAUGGGGAGUGGGGAGGAAGGCCGGCCCCUCCCGACCUCAGGUUGGCCGCCCCCACCCCCCUUGAGUCUGCACUCAGGCCUCAGUCUAUAACUGCUUCCUCCCACCACCUGGUCCCUGGCCUUAGGGCACCCAGCCUUCGAGAGGGGAUGCUGCCCAAGUGAUCUACAGCAGCAGCUGAAGGCUGCCUCCCUGGGCUCCAGAUCCUUUUCAAUAAUCAGCUUUGUGAGGCAGAGGCUGCAGCUGCCACAGACUGCCCAGGCCUUGCUGGGAAAGGAGAAGACUGGAUUAGGAGGGAAGUAGUUAAUGGAAAAUGAAGAGGGGAUGAGGUGGGGAGAGUGAGUUAAGCCUCUCAGGGGCAGUGGCUCCCGGCCAACAGCAGGUGGGGUGGUUCCUGAUCCCUGGCUGCUGCCUUUCACUUAGGGACCAUGAACGGGGCCUCCACUGAGGGCACCAUCCAGCCAGAGCUUCUCAUCCCAACCCAAGUUAUCUUCCCUGGGGGCAUACCUCGUCCCCCCUCCCCUCUAGGGUGAUCAUCAGAAGAAAGUGCUGGGAACACUUGGAAAUGCCUGAGUCCAUUUCAAGACAACUUCUAAGCAGCAACUUCUAGCACUACAGCACACUACUGGGAAGUGUGGAAGGCACACACACACACACCUGUCUCCCAGGCCUGCCCUCACCUAGGAUUCUGCCCACUUGACAUUUCGGGCAGGAGUCCAGGGAGCUGGUCAGCAUCCGUGCUCACAGGUGAUGGGCCUGAUUUCCAAAUGAGGAAACUGCCUUACUGUUUAGUGGAUUCCCUCGGGAUAGCUCGCUGCCAUCUUGAAUUCCCUACAUUGUACCUGGUCCUCCAAAGCAUCCACUAACCUGGGUGUGGUGGUGAGUGCCUAUGAUCCUAGGAUUUUGUUUUGUUUUUUCUUUUGGAGUGGGGGUGGGGGUCUCAUCAUGUAGACCAAGAUGGAUUUGAACUUACAGAGUUCUGUCCUCUUCUGUCUCCUGAGUGCUUGGAAUAAAGGUGUGAGUCACCAGGCUUUGGGAAGUUGAGACAGGAGGAUUUUCAGUUUGAGGUCAGCCUUGAAUAUAUAGUAGGCUCCAGGUCAGGCCGGCCAGGCUACAUGUCAAGAAUUUACCUCAACCAACCAAAACCAGAAAAAAAUCCAAAAUGCCCGCUCGGGUUAAUUAUAUGAAGGCCCCUGUUUCAAUACUAUACUGACCCCAUUGCAGGACGAGUGUCUCAAAAAGCCUUGUAGGAUGUUCCUGAGGAAAUUGCCCUGCUCCAAAGGAUCAAGAUAGGACUGUGCCCCCCCCCCCCCCCAAAGACACCUUGGUCUAGAUAAAAUCUGCUGCUGGGCGAAAGAGGAACAAUUUGAAACAGGGCUGGUGGAGAGGGCCAGAGAUGGCCUGAGAGGAGUCCCAAGCCCCACCUGCCAUUCACCCCAGGUCUGUGAGCCUCCAGCAGCUUUCCACUCUCCCUGGGUUGAACACAAUAGCUCUCCUCACAGCCUGGCUCGGGGCAAGUUAGAAGCCACUCUAAUGACACAAUUAGUCACCCACUUGUCAAGCAAAGAGCCUGCUAGUCGGGGGGUCUGGCAGACUCAGCAAAGAGAGAGGCCUGGGCCCAGGCUCGCUGCCGCCUCUUCUGUCCCAAGAGCUUUACUCUGGUGCAAACUAUUGUAUCCAGCAAGGGAAGAAGAGGCGCCCAUAGACCACACACCAACGCAGCAAGCCCACGGCUGCCACUGUCCUAGCCAUCCUGCCUUCAGGAUGAAGGCUCAGAAGAACAAAGUGUUUAAAUCUGACCAAAUACCAGAGUGGGUGGCCCGGCCUGGAGCUGUGAAAUCCCAGGAACCUGAGACUAACCAGGAUCCAAUCCACAGAGCAUCAGAGAACGAGUGUAUGAGGGAUACCCUGUAGAAGGCCUGGCCAGCUGAUGACUGGCUCCCAGGAGGUGGGGACAGGGGUGGUGGGGUAGGUGGUGGGGUAGCGCCUCUUCUUGCACCUUUUGUUCCACACAAGCCUGACUCGUCUGCAACCCAGGGGGUGGGGAUUGAGUGUGUCAAACCUACAGGCAGUUUUAAAACGACAAUAACAUGCAUCCCAGCAAGUGCUCCUCCUUCGACUCCAGUCCUCCCAGCCUCAUACAACGCCCACAUUGACUCUGGAAUCUGGAUUUCAAGUUGACCUAAAAGACAGGCAACUUCCCUUCUCGCACACCCCAUCCCAAAGUACUGUGAUGUCAAGAGUAAGCUAACUCCAAUUCAGACCUUGAGAUUGGCUUCAUUUCAGCCCUGUGCAGAAGUUUGAUCUGAAGACCUGUGAUCCCAGCAAUCGAAAAGUGGAUGGGUGCAAGAGGAUCAGGAGUUCAAGGUCUUCCUCGGAUACAGUAAAUUCUGGGCCAUAGAAGAUCCUGUCUCAAAACAACACACACCGCACACAGAAAUGCUCAUCUUUGAGUAUUGGUGGUCUGGGUGCUACGGGGGAACGUGUGGAGGCGAGUCCAAGGAGGUUCAUGGAAACUGAACACUAAUUCCCCCAAAAGGAAAAUAAUUCAAAGUGAGACAUGGUGGCUCUCACCCUUGAUCCCAGAUCCCAGCACUCCAGAGGCAGAGGCAGAUGGUUCUCUGUGAGUUCAAACAUAGUUUGAUCUACAUAGCAAGUUCCAAGUCAGCCAGGGUUGCAUAUGAGACCCUGUCCAGGAAAUCUCUCAUGAAGUGGGUUACUGGCAGCCAUGGCCUACAGCUGUGGCAUUCAUGAGUUUUUGCUGAAGGCUUCUCAUCGCAGCUUCAGCAAGGGGCUGGAAUGAGGUGAAAAGGGUGUUUUUGUUUUUCCAUGUCUUUUCUAGGGUUCUAUUGAUUAAAGUGUAGAACACA